AGCGAACGCUGGCGGCAGGCUUAACACAUGCAAGUCGAGCGGGCACCUUCGGGUGUCAGCGGCAGACGGGUGAGUAACACGUGGGAACGUACCCUUUGGUUCGGAACAACUCUGGGAAACUGGAGCUAAUACCGGAUACGCCCUUAUGGGGAAAGGUUUACCGCCGAAGGAUCGGCCCGCGUCUGAUUAGCUAGUUGGUGAGGUAACGGCUCACCAAGGCGACGAUCAGUAGCUGGUCUGAGAGGAUGAUCAGCCACACUGGGACUGAGACACGGCCCAGACUCCUACGGGAGGCAGCAGUGGGGAAUAUUGGACAAUGGGCGCAAGCCUGAUCCAGCCAUGCCGCGUGAGUGAUGAAGGCCUUAGGGUUGUAAAGCUCUUUUGUCCGGGACGAUAAUGACGGUACCGGAAGAAUAAGCCCCGGCUAACUUCGUGCCAGCCGCCGCAGUAAC
rnacentral:rRNA from 1 species